GGGGCCCAGAGCUGGACACAGCACUCCAGGGAUGGUCUCACCAAUGCUCAGUACAGGGGAGGAAUCACUUCCCUGCUCCUGCUACCAUGCUGUUCCUGAUCCAAGCCAGGAACCAUUGGCCUUCUUGGCCACCUGGGCACAUGCUGGCUCAUGUUCAGUUUCCUGUAAAUCCAAACUCC